UUUCAUAAGCAAAUGUUUACUCUUUCAAUAUCUGUUUCAUUCGUAGGGCUAGCCCACGACCUCUCAGAAUAAAUGAUUUGGUUCCUGGUUUGUUUCGCCAUCCCACCCAAUGAAUCAUUAGGAUUCAUUUUCAAUAAAAUCUUUUGCAGUCACAGGUUUCGUCGUUCCCAUUGCUUCC